GAUUAGAGUGUGCUAGCUUGCUAGAAUUUAGAUACAGGUGCUGCACGGCUGUCGUCAGCUCGUGUCGUGAGAUGUUGGGUUAAGUCCCGCAACGAGCGCAACCCUCGUGUUUAGUUGCUAACAGUUCGGCUGAGAACUCUAAACAGACUGCCUACGCAAGUAGGAGGAAGGUGAGGACGACGUCAAGUCGUCAUGGCCCUUACGGCCAGGGCUACACACGUGCUACAAUGGGGUAUACAAAGAGCAGCGAUACGGUGACGUGGAGCAAAUCUAGAAAAUGCCUCUCAGUUCGGAUUGUAGUCUGCAACUCGACUACAUGAAGUUGGAAUCGCUAGUAAUCGUAGAUCAGCAAUGCUACGGUGAAUACGUUCCCGGGUCUU
rnacentral:rRNA from 1 species